rnacentral:lncRNA from 1 species
GGAACCUGGGUACGGUGAACUGUGAAAGGCAACUGCACAGUAGUCUUCAGUGGGCUGCACUUCUCCAGUGAAAGAUUUUUAUUGGCACGUAUGAGAACACAUGCAUGCCUUCUGUAAUGAGUGAAUGCAGGUGGAUUCAUUAAAGCACCUUUUCUCAAAAUUGAACACGGUUUUAACAAUUCACAAAAUUACUAUUACUGGAUUUAUGGUUUCACUCCUCUCAGAUGGAGUCUUGCUCUAUUACCCAGGUUUGAGUACAAUGGAGCAAUCUCGACCCACUGCAACCUUCGCCUCCCGGAUUCUAGUGAUUCUCCUGCUUCAGCCUCCCAAGUAGCUGGGAUUAAGGCAUGUGCCACCACCCCCAACUAUUUUUUAUAUUGAUAGUAGAGGUGGGUUUCACCAUGUUGACCAGGCUAGUCUGAAACUCCUGACCUCAGGUGAUCCACCCACUUCGGCCUCCCAAAGUGCUGAGAUUACAGGAGUGAGCCACCAAACCUGGCCCAAAAUAACAAUUACCGUUGAAGAUUUCAACUUGAUAUUAGCAAUGAAA